rnacentral:rRNA from 1 species
CAGUAGCCGCGGGAAUACGGAGGGAGCUAGCGUUGUUCGGAAUUACUGGGCGUAAAGCGCGCGUAGGCGGUUACUCAAGUCAGAGGUGAAAGCCCGGGGCUCAACCCCGGAACUGCCUUUGAAACUAGGUGACUAGAAUCUUGGAGAGGUCAGUGGAAUUCCGAGUGUAGAGGUGAAAUUCGUAGAUAUUCGGAAGAACACCGGUGGCGAAGGCGACUGACUGGACAAGUAUUGACGCUGAGGUGCGAAAGCGUGGGGAGCAAACAGGAUUAGAUACCCCUGUAGUCCCUGUCUCUUAUAC